rnacentral:rRNA from 1 species
GCUUACCAUGCAAGUCGAACGAUGAAGCCCUUCGGGGUGGAUUAGUGGCGAACGGGUGAGUAACACGUGGGCAAUCUGCCCUUCACUCUGGGACAAGCCCUGGAAACGGGGUCUAAUACCGGAUAACACUCGCCGAGGCAUCUCGGGGGGUUGAAAGCUCCGGCGGUGAAGGAUGAGCCCGCGGCCUAUCAGCUUGUUGGUGAGGUAGAAGCUCACCAAGGCGACGACGGGUAGCCGGCCUGAGAGGGCGACCGGCCACACUGGGACUGAGACACGGCCCAGACUCCUACGGGAGGCAGCAGUGGGGAAUAUUGCACAAUGGGCGAAAGCCUGAUGCAGCGACGCCGCGUGAGGGAUGACGGCCUUCGGGUUGUAAACCUCUUUCAGCAGGGAAGAAGCGAAAGUGACGGUACCUGCAGAAGAAGCGCCGGCUAACUACGUGCCAGCAGCCGCGGUAAUACGUAGGGCGCAAGCGUUGUCCGGAAUUAUUGGGCGUAAAGAGCUCGUAGGCGGUCUGUCACGUCGGAUGUGAAAGCCCGGGGCUUAACCCCGGGUCUGCAUUCGAUACGGGCAGACUAGAGUGUGGUAGGGGAGAUCGGAAUUCCUGGUGUAGCGGUGAAAUGCGCAGAUAUCAGGAGGAACACCGGUGGCGAAGGCGGAUCUCUGGGCCAUUACUGACGCUGAGGAGCGAAAGCGUGGGGAGCGAACAGGAUUAGAUACCCUGGUAGUCCACGCCGUAAACGGUGGGAACUAGGUGUUGGCGACAUUCCACGUCGUCGGUGCCGCAGCUAACGCAUUAAGUUCCCCGCCUGGGGAGUACGGCCGCAAGGCUAAAACUCAAAGGAAUUGACGGGGGCCCGCACAAGCAGCGGAGCAUGUGGCUUAAUUCGACGCAACGCGAAGAACCUUACCAAGGCUUGACAUCGCCCGGAAAGCAUCAGAGAUGGUGCCCCCCUUGUGGUCGGGUGACAGGUGGUGCAUGGCUGUCGUCAGCUCGUGUCGUGAGAUGUUGGGUUAAGUCCCGCAACGAGCGCAACCCUUGUUCUGUGUUGCCAGCAUGCCCUUCGGGGUGAUGGGGACUCACAGGAGACUGCCGGGGUCAACUCGGAGGAAGGUGGGGACGACGUCAAGUCAUCAUGCCCCUUAUGUCUUGGGCUGCACACGUGCUACAAUGGCAGGUACAAUGAGCUGCGAUGUCGCAAGGCGGAGCGAAUCUCAAAAAGCCUGUCUCAGUUCGGAUUGGGGUCUGCAACUCGACCCCAUGAAGUCGGAGUUGCUAGUAAUCGCAGAUCAGCAUUGCUGCGGUGAAUACGUUCCCGGGCCUUGUACACACCGCCCGUCACGUCACGAAAGUCGGUAACACCCGAAGCCGGUGGCCCAACCCCCUUGUGGGGAGGGAGCUGUCGAAG